CUGCUUUUUCUUUGUUUAGAGUUUGAGUUUUUUAUUUUAAAAAAGUUAACUUAUACCAAGGCUAAUCAUUGUCAGUUUUAUCCUAAUUCAAUUGAGUGGAUUUUGUUUCUUAUGGGAGUUUUUAAUUUAUUUAGUUUUAUUUUGUGUUUGAAUUCUGUACUUUGUUAAUUUUCUAUUUCUCUAAUAAGUUGAUGUUGUACUUUAUAAACUGAUAGGGUGCUUUAUCAAUGGGAGUCACCAUUGAUUCUUGGAUUGAUAGGGUGAGACAAUUUUUUUUUAUUAUUUGUUUUUUAGAAUAGGGAAGAAAAACCUGUUUUCCUUGAAAUACUAUUAAUCAUUAAAAAAUUUUAAUUUUGAGAUACUUAGAUGUGUUUGAGGAUGGAAAUAUAAAAAAGAGAACAGAGAUUAUUUAGUUAGACCUAGAAACUCUAUUGUUUAUUGGAUAAAAUGCUUAUUUGUUGCUUUACUUAACUUUCCGAUGUGUCUUUUGCACAUUGCUGAAGGGUAUCUUACGUCCUUGCUAGUAGUUGAGCUUCUGUAGAUGCUGCAAAUCCCAUUGAACUUCACUGUGAACCUUUGAAGUGUCUCUAUUCUAUUGGUUAUCUUAUAAUUUUGAGUAAUCAGAUCAACAAGGUAUAAUUGCAAGCAAUGAAUACAACUAAAGAACAACUAAACUAGCUUAUUAGUGGAGUGAGUUUUCAUGUAUUAUUUGGAGUUAGAAAUGCGGAAUAAUUUAUCUGGUUGAGAGACAAAGUUCUCACAGGAAGUUAAGCUGGAGUUGUGAAUUUGUGUGGACGAGACUUUGUGUCCUAUAUGCACAAUGAAUGUACUGGCAGUAUUCUAAAAGAUAUGGCCCUUUUUACCUAUUCUCUGUGAAUUCUACAUUAUAGCUUGUCACUUCUUAUUUAUUGUUCCGCAAUUCCCUUGCACAUAUCUCAGAUUUUUCAAUUAUGUUAAAUAAUGACUCUUUAUUUAUGGUCAAAAUUCUGAAAUUUUGUUGGAUUUCUUUUGUUUUCAUAAUAAAAGGAAGGAAAAAUACAUGAGAUUUUGAGUUGAGGUUCUUCUUUUGUACCAUAACUUUAUCUUUAUCACUGAUGUAGUGAUGUAUAAUUUUGUAUUGUAACCAAUAUUUUGGAAAACAUAUCUCUUUUUUGUGAUAAAUAAUCUAAUUCAGGGAUCACUGCUAUGCAAAAAAAAAGUGUAUAAAUACAUCUAUUAUAGCAUUAACUGUUGAAAAAUUGUUUCUACUUUGUUGGAUUGUCUUAUAUUUUAAAGUUCAAGUCAUGUAUCUUUAUUUAUUUACCUACCUUUUUGUGUCUAGAAAUUGGAUAUAGAUAUGUAUUCUUCAAUCUUAUUAAAGAGCUUCGGACAACUGCAUUAAAAAUCUGCUGGAAAAUGGAGGAUGUGCUGCAUACUGAUGCUCCUUUAGAUCAUGCUUCAAUUCGGAUUUUCUUCAACCAAAAUAGUGUUGAUAAGGAUAUUUGAAGGAUCAAACAGCUGAAUGGCGAUGUAUGCAGGUACAAGUGGUUCCAACAGUAGAUAUCCUUGAUCUCCUUACUAUGAGAAGACCAUGACACAUUCAGACCUGAGCGCAAGUCGAUUGGUAGAAUAUCCUUAAUGAAUACUUGUCCACUAAGUUUGCUGCAUAUCUGAAACCAUCUGGGCAUGGUUUCGUAUGGAAGAUAACUGGUCCACUUUCCAGUGUAGGAAAAAUAUCUUUUUUUUUUCUAUCUCCUGAGAAGUGGAGGAAGAAAUUUGGAGUGAAAAUUUGGAGUUGAGUGAAAAGAGUGCUGUAGAUUGUACAAGUUAAAGAGGAGGGACAAGCUUAUCCUGAGAUUAGCCUCCAUACUGGACCAGCACAUAUAGUUGGAGAUCAAGAAAUUUUAAUUUCUACUUAAAAAUGGCUAUUUAUCUAUUAUCAUGCAGAAACAAAUAUUUUUGCUUAUGUAUUCGAUUGUACUGGACAUGUUUUUGUUUUCUUUUUUCUUUCUCUGGAUAUUUGACAAUCUACGUUUUAAAUUUUUCAAAUAAUAGGUUUUCUUUUCAUUCUGAAUCCUUUUAAUACUGUUUUACCUUGCAUACGAUUUUGAUUUGGCGAAAUCAUUAUUAUCCCUUGUAUUGAAUGUCACGGAUUAACAGAAUUGGAAUAUGUAGUGGCCCUGACUUGGAGGAUGCAACUUCUGUAUAUCAUGACCAUACUAACCAAAACCCUCUUCCACUUCCACAACCUUCAAAGCCUAUUCUUGCUCCUGCUCCAAAGUACUUUCUUGCCCUCUUCUCUAACGUGUCAUGUCCAUAUCUGAAGAUAUAUGGUGAAUGCAGCUCUACUGCAGGUUACUUCGUGAAGGAUGUUCUCUUAUAUGGUCAAGUGUAUGGAGAUCUUGAAAUGGCUUCAGCUAAUGGAAGUGUUAUAUUUGGGUGAAUUUUCUCAUGGAAGUAAUGUAUGUUAUUAUGCAUUUGUGGAAGUCAUAUGGUUGUUUUUAAAUUUAUAA